CAAUAAGUGUUUUAUGGCACUUUUUAAAUCCAUAUCCACCUUGUGUGCAAUGUCAGUCGAUCUUCUUUAUGGAGAUCGACCAAACAUCAACCUUUAUCUUUUAACUCUUUGUCUGAAAAAUAUUAUGAAUAAACAAUUCAAAAUA
rnacentral:misc_RNA from 1 species